AACAUUGGUGUGUGGUUUUGUUCAAUGAAAGCAAAGGCAAGAAAAAUAGUUGAGAAAAAAAAUCAUCUUUUGUAACUCAGAACUCACUGACCAAUGUGAGUUUUGAUACCCACAAGGAAAAAAUGU